AUUGUCUUAAACGACCAAGCUAAUAUUUGCUUGAUUCACUUCUACAAGAG
rnacentral:misc_RNA from 1 species